rnacentral:rRNA from 1 species
UGGAACACCCCCGGGAAACUGGGGCUAAUUCUUGAUAGGUGAAGAACUCUGGAAUGAGUCUUUGCUUAAAAGACGUUUACGUUAUGCUCGUAGGCGUCGCCCAAGGAUGAGGCCGCGACCGAUCAGGUUGUUGGUGAGGUAAUGGCUCACCAAGCCUUUUACCGGUGCGGGCCGUGAGAGCGGGAGCCCGGAGAUGGGCACUGAGACAAGGGCCCAGGCCCUACGGGGCGCAGCAGUCGCGAAAACUUUGCAAUACACGAAAGUGUGACAGGGCUAUCCCGAGUGCCAUCCGCUGAGGAAGGCUUUUACCCAGUCUAGAACGCUGGGGGAAUAAGGAGAGGGCAAGUCUGGUGUCAGCCGCCGCGGUAAUACCAGCUCUCCGAGUGGUGUGGAUGUUUAUUGGGCCUAAAGCAUCCGUAGCUGGCUAAGUUAGUCCCUUGUUAAAUCCACCGAAUUAAUCGUUGGAUUGCGGGGGAUACUGCUUGGCUAGGGGACGAGGGAGGCAGACGGUAUUUCCGGGGUAGGGGUGAAAUCCUAUAAUCCCGGGAAGACCACCAGUGGCGAAGGCUGUCUGCUAGAACCCCCCCCGACGGUGAGGGAUGAAAGCUGGGGGAGCGAACC